rnacentral:rRNA from 1 species
GCAGUCGAACGGAAAGGCCCAGCUUGCUGGGUGCUCGAGUGGCGAACGGGUGAGUAACACGUGGGUGAUCUGCCUCUAACUUCGGGAUAAGCUUGGGAAACUGGGUCUAAUACCGGAUAGGACAAUCGUUUAGUGUCGGUUGUGGAAAGUUUUUUCGGUUAGGGAUGAGCCCGCGGCCUAUCAGCUUGUUGGUGGGGUAAUGGCCUACCAAGGCGUCGACGGGUAGCCGGCCUGAGAGGGUGGACGGCCACAUUGGGACUGAGAUACGGCCCAGACUCCUACGGGAGGCAGCAGUGGGGAAUAUUGCACAAUGGGCGCAAGCCUGAUGCAGCGACGCCGCGUGGGGGAUGACGGCCUUCGGGUUGUAAACCUCUUUCGACAGGGACGAAGCUUUGGUGACGGUACCUGUAUAAGAAGCACCGGCUAACUACGUGCCAGCAGCCGCGGUAAUACGUAUGGUGCGAGCGUUGUCCGGAAUUACUGGGCGUAAAGAGCUCGUA